rnacentral:sRNA from 1 species
UGACGUCAGCUGAUUGUUCAUUAAAGACUGGCCUCGAUUUCUCCACAGGUCACAACGAGGCUGCUAGAAGGGGAAAAGAAAAGACUGCUGCUGUUAAAACACAACCUCGAGUUGUGCCUGUCCCACGCAGAGGCGUCAAAGGCUGAAAUCGAAAUGCUUAAAGAGAACAUAGUGAGGAUAGAACAGAAAUGUAAGCAUCUGGACGAGGAGUACAGAGUGGGAUGUAAGGAGGCACUUGUCAGGAGGAUCAACAUGGGCAGCAAGUCGUCCAGAAGCCAACCCGCCAUUGGUGUCAAGCAGACAGCGAAACAAAGGGUAAGUAACUCUUGUUGAAUUUUAAAAAAAACAACUAAUUUGUUUCACAUUGGGAAAUAUUAAUUAAAAAAAAAAGAGUGUCUUUUAAAUCUAAACUUAUUCUCAUAUUGUCUAAUCGAUCGAUAUUAAGGUAUUUGAAAAGCUGUCUCAUUCUCGUGUAUAAUUUCGUUUUUCCCGCCUUAAAAAGAAAGAUCCAAUAAGAUAUUACUGAUUGGCCUUCGACAUGCCUUGCUAAUUUUAGU